rnacentral:rRNA from 1 species
CAGCCGCCGCGGGAAUACGUAGGAGGCAAGCGUUGUCCGGAAUUAUUGGGCGUAAAGGGCUCGCAGGCGGUUUCUUAAGUCUGAUGUGAAAGCCCCCGGCUCAACCGGGGAGGGUCAUUGGAAACUGGGAAACCUGAGUGCAGAAGAGGAGAGUGGAAUUCCACGUGUAGCGGUGAAAUGCGUAGAGAUGUGGAGGAACACCAGUGGCGAAGGCGACUCUCUGGUCUGUAACUGACGCUGAGGAGCGAAAGCGUGGGGAGCGAACAGGAUUAGAUACCCCGGUAGUCCCUGUCUCUUAUAC